CAGCAGUCGCCACGGUAAUACGUAGGUGGCAAGCGUUGUCCGGAGUUAUUGGGCGUAAAGGGCUCGCAGGCGGUUUCUUAAGUCUGAUGUGAAAGCCCCCGGCUCAACCGGGGAGGGUCAUUGGAAACUGGGAAACUUGAGUGCAGAAGAGGAGAGUGGAAUUCCACGUGUAGCGGUGAAAUGCGUAGAGAUGUGGAGGAACACCAGUGGCGAAGGCGACUCUCUGGUCUGUAACUGACGCUGAGGAGCGAAAGCGUGGGGAGCGAACAGGAUUAGAUACCCCCGUAGUCCCUGUCUCUUAUAA
rnacentral:rRNA from 1 species